rnacentral:rRNA from 1 species
GACGAACGCUGGCGGCGUGCUUAACACAUGCAAGUCGAACGGUGAACCUCUUCGGAGGGGAUCAGUGGCGAACGGGUGAGUAACACGUGGGCAACCUGCCCCCGGCUCUGGGAUAACUCCAAGAAAUCGGGGCUAAUACCGGAUGUUCACCGCUUCCCGCAUGGGUGGUGGUGGAAAGGGUUUCCGGCUGGGGAUGGGCCCGCGGCCUAUCAGCUUGUUGGUGGGGUAGUGGCCUACCAAGGCGACGACGGGUAGCCGGCCUGAGAGGGUGACCGGCCACACUGGGACUGAGACACGGACCAGACUCCUACGGGAGGCAGCAGUGGGGAAUAUUGCGCAAUGGGCGGGAGCCUGAGGCAGCGACGCCGCGUGGGGGAUAACGGCCUACGGGUUGUAAACCUCUUUCAGCGGAGACGAAGCGCAAGUGACGGUACCUGCAGAAGAAGCACCGGCCAACUACGUG